rnacentral:rRNA from 1 species
UGGGGAAUAUUGCACAAUGGGCGCAAGCCUGAUGCAGCCAUGCCGCGUGUGUGAAGAAGGCCUUCGGGUUGUAAAGCACUUUCAGCGAGGAGGAAGGGUAGUGUGUUAAUAGCACAUUGCAUUGACGUUACUCGCAGAAGAAGCACCGGCUAACUCCGUGCCAGCAGCCGCGGUAAUACGGAGGGUGCAAGCGUUAAUCGGAAUUACUGGGCGUAAAGCGCACGCAGGCGGUUUGUUAAGUCAGAUGUGAAAUCCCCGCGCUUAACGUGGGAACUGCAUUUGAAACUGGCAAGCUAGAGUCUUGUAGAGGGGGGUAGAAUUCCAGGUGUAGCGGUGAAAUGCGUAGAGAUCUGGAGGAAUACCGGUGGCGAAGGCGGCCCCCUGGACAAAGACUGACGCUCAGGUGCGAAAGCGUGGGGAGCAAAACAGGAUUAGAUACCCUGGUAGUCCACGCUGUAAACGAUGUCGACUUGGAGGUUGUGCCCUUGAGGCGUGGCUUCCGGACUAACGCGUUAAGUCGACCGCCUGGGGGAGUACGGCCGCAAGGUUA